GACGGAGGAUGCAAGUGUUAUCCGGAAUCACUGGGCGUAAAGCGUCUGUAGGUGGUUUAAAAAGUCUGCUGUUAAAAAUUGAAGCUUAACUUCAAAGAUGCCGUAGAAACUUUUAAACUUGAGUAUGGUAGGGGUAGAGGGAAUUUCCAGUGGAGCGGUGAAAUGCGUAGAUCUUGGAAAGACCACCAAUGGCGAAGGCACUCUACUGGGCCAUUACUGACACUGAGAGACGAAAGCUAGGGGAGCAAAUGGG
rnacentral:rRNA from 1 species